CGAUCUCUUUGACACUAAGAAGAAGCCCAACAACAUCAAGCUCUAUGUCCGUCGUGUCUUCAUCAUGGACAACUGUGAAGACAUCAUUCCUGAGUACCUUGGAUUUGUCAAGGGUAUUGUCGACUCUGAAGAUCUUCCUCUCAACAUCUCCAGGGAAACGUUGCAGCAGAACAAGAUCCUCAAGGUCAUCCGCAAGAACCUUGUGAAGAAGUGCAUUGAGCUCUUCUUUGAGAUUGCUGAGAACAAGGAGGACUACAACAAGUUCUACGAGGCUUUCUCUAAGAACCUGAAGCUUGGUAUCCACGAGGACUCACAAAACAGGACAAAGAUCGCUGAGUUGCUCCGCUACCACUCAACCAAGAGCGGUGAUGAGUUGACCAGUCUGAAGGACUAUGUGACAAGGAUGAAGGAAGGUCAGAACGAUAUCUUCUACAUUACUGGUGAGAGCAAAAAGGCUGUUGAGAACUCUCCAUUCCU
rnacentral:lncRNA from 1 species